GACGAACCGUGCGAACGUUAUUCGGAAUCACUGGGCUUAAAGCGCGUGUAGGCGGGUCGGUGCGUCGGCCGCUGAAAUCCCCCGGCUCAACCGGGGAAGGGGCGCCGAUACGACCGGCCUGGAGCGACGUAGGGGGAACUGGAACUUCCGGUGGAGCGGUGAAAUGCGUUGAGAUCGGAAGGAACGCCCGUGGCGAAAGCGAGUUCCUGGACGUCGGCUGACGCUGAGACGCGAAAGCCAGGGGAGCAAACAGG
rnacentral:rRNA from 1 species